GCUAGCGGCAGGCCUAAUACAUGCAAGUCGAGGGGUAAUUCUGCUUUCGGGCAGGAACGACCGGCGAACGGGUGCGUAACGCGUAUGCAACCUACCCACAACUGAGGGAUAGCCCGGAGAAAUUCGGAUUAAUACCUCAUAAUGCAGGGGUACCGCAUGGUACUAUUUGCUAAAGAUUUAUCGGUUGUGGAUGGGCAUGCGUCUGAUUAGUUAGUUGGUGAGGUAACGGCUCACCAAGGCGACGAUCAGUAGGGGGUCUGAGAGGAUGAUCCCCCACACUGGUACUGAGAUACGGACCAGACUCCUACGGGAGGCAGCAGUAGGGAAUAUUGGUCAAUGGGCGCAAGCCUGAACCAGCCAUGCCGCGUGCAGGAUGACGGCCUUCUGGGUUGUAAACUGCUUUUAUCAGGGAAGAAAACGGCCAUGCGUGGCAGAUUGACGGUACCUGAAGAAUAAGCACCGGCUAACUCCGUGCCAGCAGCCGCGGUAAUACGGAGGGUGCAAGCGUUGUCCGGAUUUAUUGGGUUUAAAGGGUGCGUAGGCGGAUUAUUAAGUCAGUGGUGAAAGUUUACGGCUCAACCGUAAAAGUGCCAUUGAUACUGGUAGUCUUGAGUACAGUAGAGGUAGGCGGAAUUUAUGGUGUUAGCGGUGAAAUGCAUAGAUACCAUAAAGAACACCGAUAGCGAAGGCAGCUUACUAUACUGAGACUGACGCUGAGGCACGAAAGCGUG
rnacentral:rRNA from 1 species